AAAAUAUUGAUGGCAAUCAGUAUGGCUUUGAAUUUGGAGUACAUAUAUCAAGUAAUAUGGUGGAAAGUGCUCCCCCAAGUUCGCCAGCCUUUCUGUCUCUCAGGAGUGUUCCCACUCUAUGGGAUUCUCUCCCUAGGACAUCUUGCACACUCCAGUGAAACCAUCCCUUCUCAGUCUCCUGCUGCCUUCCCUAUGUCCACCUACCUGUUUCUGCCAAGGCAUGCUGGAGCUACCUGAUGUUUCAUCCAAUAGAUGCUCUGAAUGAGACAUAGGUGAAAGAAUUUCUAAAUGAGUCCCAGGCACAUAAAGUAGUACAGAAGAAACAAAAAUAAUGGAUUAAGUAAGCAGAAGAUGGAAGUCAUCAAACCUAUACCCCGGUUGCCAGACUCAUCAUAUGACCACAGAACCUGGGGUAAAAAGUCCCCUCCAUUUGUUGGCCUCUGCACUAACAGAGGAGGUUAUUCAAUAUAGAAACUGACUGGGGAUGUGGGCUUUGAAGUGAGAAGUAUGUGAAUUUGACCCUGGAGGUGGUACAUGUUCUAGGGCAAGUAAUUUAUCUACCAUGUGUCCUUUAAUUGUUGGUGCCUUUUUAUUAUUAUUAUAUCAUUAUUAUCCCACUACCCAUCCAAAGGAUAAAUUAUCUGUGAUGAUAAUACUGCCUGGUAUUAAAAAUGCUUUAUGAACCUUUAAUUUUUUUUAACUGAUUGAGUGUUUAACAUACAGAUUAAAAGGCUUUGCAUGGAAAAGUUUUGAAUGCAUAUAAGCAUAUAACACUAUUUUUUAAUUUGUACCUUUACAUGAUAUAUCUUGGUUCUUAUCUUUUUCCCCAUUCCCCUGUCCUUGCUUCACCCCCUCCAUCCCUCCCUAUUUACAAAGACUUUGUUUCCAUUUUUUCUUUUUCUCAUAUUUAUUUCUUUCCAUUCUUUCCUUUCCCCUAUCCCUCCCACUUCCCCUUCCCCUUUGGACCUUUUCUUCCUAUUUCACAUUAUCUAUUAUACAUACUCAAGUGAAAUAAAUAGGACACACAUGUGUAAAUAUCGAAUCAUUUCUUUGGUAUGAGAAACGGAAAGUGUAAAUAAGGAUCAAAAUGUAUAACAUUAUUUUAUAUGCUAUAUGUAUGAUAUUUCCAUUUUCUAGCAUUAUUUAAGAAUUGUCAUUGGGUCAUCCAGUCAGUGUUCAUAAUAAAGCAAAGUUAAGUAAUAUUUUUUACCUUGCC
rnacentral:lncRNA from 1 species